UAGAACCUCCUAUUUUGAUGUA
rnacentral:siRNA from 1 species